UCUUCCUCUUCCUCUUCCUCUUCCUCUUCCUCUUCCUCUUCCUCUUCCAUUGAGCUCUCAGUAAGUCUUCUAUUUGUACAGCCCUGGAAGGUCCAGAAUUAUGGUGUGUCAGCUAGGCCCAUAUUGGAUGAAUGUGUGCAUAUACAAUAAA
ensembl:miRNA Gm24816 predicted gene, 24816